UACGUAGGGUGCAAGCGUUAAUCGGAAUUACUGGGCGUAAAGCGUGCGCAGGCGGUUGUGCAAGACCGAUGUGAAAUCCCCGGGCUCAACCUGGGAACUGCAUUUGUGACUGCAUAGCUAGAGUACGGUAGAGGGGGAUGGAAUUCCGCGUGUAGCAGUGAAAUGCGUAGAUAUGCGGAGGAACACCGAUGGCGAAGGCAAUCCCCUGGACCUGUACUGACGCUCAUGCACGAAAGCGUGGGGAGCAAACGGG
rnacentral:rRNA from 1 species